rnacentral:rRNA from 1 species
UACGUAGGGUGCGAGCGUUGUCCGGAAUUACUGGGCGUAAAGGGCUCGUAGGCGGCCAACUAAGUCGGAUGUGAAAUCCCCAGGCUCAACUUGGGAACUGCAUCCGAUACUGGAUGGCUUGAAUCCGGGAGAGGGAUGCAGAAUUCCAGGUGUAGCGGUGAAAUGCGUAGAUAUCUGGAGGAAUACCGGUGGCGAAGGCGGCAUCCUGGACCGGCAUUGACGCUGAUGAGCGAAAGCUAGGGGAGCAAACGGG